CAAAAGCUCCAGAUUUUUGAGCGAUGACGGUGUGCUUCCAGCGAAGCCAAGUCUUCUCAGCUCCAUGUCAAGAGCGAGGGUCCUGAGUGAAGCCAACCAGCACUUCUUUUCCUAUUCCUAGUGAUUGGUUCAGUGGAGGCAUCUGACCUGAGCUGCUUCGAUCAGACUGAAACCUAAAGAUUUUCUGUGGAUUGUGGACAAAUUCAGUCUUUCUUCUAUCCUGAAUAUACUGAAGAAAAGUGGAAGCCCUAGAAGCCUGGGAUCACCAGUGAGGUCACCCCCGCGCAGGCCUCGGCUCGAGCAGUCCUGCUGAGCUGAACGAGAAAUACAGCGCCAGGGGCCUGCGGCCUGCAGACGUGAGCACGGGGACCAACCUGCUCUGCAAUCUGCUGACCUCAGGUCUCGCCUUCAUUCCCACGAGUUCUAAUGCAUGGGGUGGAGCCUGGGGGGUCUGGGUUCUUCUCCUCUUGAAGAAGCAUCACUUAGUGCAAGAGCCAGAGGACGGGGAAGAGCAGCGAGCAAGUCGGCAGUAGCUGCUUCAAAAGAUCCAGCCCCAGAGGGGCCCAGCCAGGAGGCAGGCUCUUCCAUGAUCUGUCCCCCCAGCGAGUCAGAAGCUCCAGAAACAUCCCUCUUCUGGGUAUCUGCCUCCAGAGAAGUCUGUCAUCCGUGCUCCCUACCACCUUUGGAACACCCACCGCGUCCCUUCGUCAGCUCUACCAAGCGCACGGCCAGUGAGGCAGAAGCCGCUGGGCAGUAGCCAGAGCUGGAAUUUUCCCUGGCCUUCAUCGUGCUGAAAUCCACCACCGGGGACACCUGGUGUUAUUCGGAUUUGCUUUUCACAUCACCCGUUUGUGCUCUUGGUUUACUUGGGAAACCUAAACUACAGCAAUAUGUAUUCCCACUACAUUUUCAUCAUCAUCCUCUGUGUCACCUCCAAAAUGUGUGCUUCUCCACCGUCAACUGCUUCCAGAAUCUAGAUUCUAUACUUAUUCAAAAUACAUGAUGACUAUCUCCUA